CAAGAUCUUCAGGGCGGGGCGAAAUUCCCCACUGGCGGUGAUACUCCUUUGUUUGGAAAGUGAGCAAGUCCGCGAGCGGCCUUCGGGCGGCAGAACCGGUGAGAAUCCGGUACCAACAGUAAAGUCUGGAUGAAAGAAGACACAG
rnacentral:ncRNA from 2 species